rnacentral:rRNA from 1 species
UGGGGUAUAUUGCACAAUGGAGGGAACUCUGAUGCAGCGACGCCGCGUGAACGAAGAAGGCUUUCGAGUCGUAAAGUUCUUUUAUAUGGGAAGAUAAUGACGGUACCAUAAGAAAAAGCCCCGGCUAACUACGUGCCAGCAGCCGCGGUAAUACGUAGGGGGCUAGCGUUGUCCGGAAUCACUGGGCGUAAAGGGUUCGCAGGCGGAAAUUCAAGUCAGGUGUAAAAGGCAGUAGCUUAACUACUGUAAGCAUUUGAAACUGCAUAUCUUGAGAAGAGUAGAGGUAAGUGUAAUUUUUAGUGUAGCGGUGAAAUGCGUAGAUAUUAAAAAGAAUACCGGUGGCGAAGGCGGCUUACUGGGCUCAUUCUGACGCUGAGGAACGAAAGCGUGGGUAGCAAACAGG